UCCGGCUUAACGCCGGCAGUCCCCCCAGAGUCCCCGGCCGAACCGCUGGUAACUAGGGACAAGGGUUGCGCUCGUUGCGGGACUUAACCCAACAUCUCACGACACGAGCUGACGACAGCCAUGCAGCACCUGUGCACGGACUCCGAAGAGGGGCCGAUGUUUCCACCGGCUUUCCCGUGCAUGUCAAGCCCAGGUAAGGUUCUUCGCGUUGCUUCGAAUUGAACCACAUGCUCCACCGCUUGUGCGGGCCCCCGUCAAUUCCUUUGAGUUUCAGCCUUGCGGCCGUACUCCCCAGGCGGGGCACUUAUUGCGUUAGCGACGGCACCGAAGGGGUCGCUCCUCCCGGCGCCUAGUGCCCAUCGUUUACGGCGUGGACUAC
rnacentral:misc_RNA from 1 species